rnacentral:lncRNA from 1 species
UAGUCAGGCAAGAGCUGACCAGGCUCAAACACCAAUAUAGUGUGAUCGUUCACACCGCCUAGACUAGCGGUGCUGCCAAACUGCCCGUGCUACGGCAUGAGAUUUGGCUGCAUCUAGAAAGAACGAGAUGUCAGAGCUGGGUUGUGGUGACUUCACUUAAGCACAAUGCAUUGGAUACAAUUUUAUCUGAUGUCGAAGGAGGGCUGAACUUGCUGUCUAUUGUGAAGUUGGCGUCAGUCAGAUUGGUGAUACGAAUUGGAGACUUUGGGGCUAAAGAUAUGCAGGACCCACUUUUUCCCUGGGGCAAUACUUUGGAGUGCCAGUGCCUGCACACACAGGCAUUCACCACCUGCUUCUGGCCUCCUUCCAUGCACCACAUCUACACACAACACUAUAACAUCCUUAACACUCUUGAGAAAUGCACAACUCUUUCCAACAGACUGCAAAAGCAGAAGACAACAUUCUAGGACAUGGGAAUUGCCUCAACCUACUCCACUUAUGCUGAUGUUCCUCCCAGAUCAGCAUUUCGAACCCAACAUUCUGCAUUGAACAGUUCCACUCUGCACAUUCUCUAUUGGCGCAUUUGGCUACUCAGUGGCACACUCAGGAUUUGCACGAGUCACACUUCAGUGCCCAGCAGCAAAUACAUGUUGAGCAGUGAGAGCAUGACUUUAUUCAAGACCUUCUGAGGGACUACUCCACAGAAGGAACUAUGGUCUG